rnacentral:misc_RNA from 1 species
AACGCACAUUGCGCCCCUUGGCAUUCCAUGGGGCAUGCCUGUUCGAGCGUCAUUUGUACCCUCCAGCCCUGCUGGGUGUUGGGCGUUUGUUCCGCCGCGCGCGUGAACUCGCCUCAAAUGCAUUGGCAGCCAGCCGUCCCGCGUGGGAGCGCAGCACAUUUUGCGCUCUCCGCUGGGUGCGGCGGCGUCCACAAGCCUAUACCUUUACGCUUGACCUCGGAUCAGGUAGGGAUACCCGCUGAACUUAA